GACGAACGCUGGCGGCGUGCUUAACACAUGCAAGUCGAACGGAAAGGCCCUGCUUUUGUUGGGUGCUCGAGUGGCGAACGGGUGAGUAACACGUGAGUAACCUGCCCUUGACUUUGGGAUAACUUCAGGAAACUGGGGCUAAUACCGGAUAGGAUCUCUUGCUGCACGGUGGGGGUUGGUAAGUUACGGCGGUUGGGGAUGGACUCGCGGCUUAUCAGCUUGUUUGUGGGGUAGGUGCUUACCAAGGCUUUGACGGGUAGCCGGCCUGAGAGGGGGGACGGGGACCAUGGGACUAAGGGACGGACCAGACUGCAAUGGGAGGCAGAGGGGGGAAGUAUGGCACAACGGGCGGAAGCGUGAUGCGGAGACGCCGGGUGCGUGAUGCCGGCCUUUGAGGUAUGAACCGCUUUCGCAUGAGACGAAGCGGGAGUGACGGUACUGGGUAAAGAAGCACCGGCUAACUACGUG
rnacentral:rRNA from 1 species